GGCACCAGCGAGACCGUAGCCUGGGAAGAGAAGAGCGAGAGGGGCACAGGGAAAUGAGGGGGCUGCUUCACCCAGGGCAUGAAACUGCAGCCCUGGCUUUACAAACUGAAACCCCCUGCAAUGACUUUGGCCCAUUCAGUGUCUAAAGAAAAAGGAAAAACCCUGAUGGAUGAUGUGUCUGCAGCAAGAUGAGCAGCUACCCACGAACAGCCAAGUAACUACAGCGUGCUUCAAGAGGCCAGGCAGCAUCCCUGACUGUUGGUAUUCACUGGGUGUGAACUGAGGAUAAAUUACCGGCAGAGGCAAUGAAAGAAACUGGAACUAGAAAAAUACCUAGCGAGAAACACAGCUGGCAGCAGGCAAUGCAGUCCUGCCCCGUUUUGAGCACUAGGAUCAUUGCGCAGCACAUCCUCUUCUUCAGCUGGAUCAACUGCCUGCCAGAGAGAGCCCAAGAGUUACAGCUGAUAACCCAAAGCAAGGCUCUGCCUUCAGCUGAAGGCUGGACCCAAUGAUCUCCCCAGCCUCCCUUCAAGGCCAGCCCCUUCAGCGAUCCUGGCCCCACGCAUCCCUUCCCAUGCCAGCUCGAAACAUUUGCACACCCGCAUAAAGAAGCAGACAUGGGUAGAGAUGCAGCAAAGAACACUUUCAAGUAGACCAGGUUUUUUUGAACACUCAUUUUUGCUGGCAACAGAGGGGGAAUAACGUUGAGAGGGGAUUGCCACCACCCCCCUCUUCCUGUCAGCCUGAAGUGACCAUCAUCUGAGAGCAAAGAACAUCUUGUUCUGGAUCAUCGACUCCAACAAGGCACUAAAGCAAUUAUUUCUCUUGAGACUGAGGCACAGAGUAGCAAAAUUGUAGGUUCAGAUUUUUGUGAACAUUGUGGAAAAUAAGUAAAAAAUAACAGUAAUUAGUUACUUUUUGUAGACAGAAGCAUAAUUAGCUGUAAGAUUGACACCAUGAGGAGUUCAAAGAUGCAAUCUACUUGAGUUUCACCAAGAAUUUCACUAUCUGCAUGGAAAAUACAGAACUAAAUGUGGUGUUAAAACACUUUACUAUGCCAGAAGGUCAACAGUUAUUAGGGAAAAUAAACUUUAGCUUGGCAAGUUACACAAGAGGUGAUGUUAUUGCUUCAUGUUCUUUGCAUUUAUUUGUUCAAGAUUAUUUUGGGAGUGUUAAGGAAGAUGUGCUACAAAGAAAAUUCUUGAACCUAUAAUUUUUCAAUUAAUAACACUUUCCUUCUACAACUUUAAGUAGAAAACGAAGAAGAUCUGAAGAUGCAAACCUACGUAAAAAGUGCAAAAACAUUCUGAAAGAAAAACAAAACACCUGAGUGAGGUCGUUCAAACAAACUAAUGUCUACUAGGAGAGUGUGACACUAAGAAACCGAGACUGACCUACGAAAGCAAACAUUCUUUUCCCCUUACUCACUGUGUAAUUGUUAAUUUGCUUCAAUUGCAGGCAAAGAAUUUAACAAUCUGCUCUCCAUAUUAGGCAGACCCUGACUGAGAUAAUUAGCUAGGAAAAGUCCUUGUUGGCUUGAUAAUUUCAACAGGGUACAU